CGUAACAAGGUCUCCGUAGGUGAACCCGCGGANGGAUCAUUACACAAAUAUGAAGGCGGGCUGGAACCUCUCGGGGUUACAGCCUUGCUGAAUUAUUCACCCUUGUCUUUUGCGUACUUCUUGUUUCCUUGGUGGGUUCGCCCACCACUAGGACAAACAUAAACCUUUUGUAAUUGCAAUCAGCGUCAGUAACAAAUUAAUAAUUACAACUUUCAACAACGGAUCUCUUGGUUCUGGCAUCGAUGAAGAACGCAGCGAAAUGCGAUAAGUAGUGUGAAUUGCAGAAUUCAGUGAAUCAUCGAAUCUUUGAACGCACAUUGCGCCCUUUGGUAUUCCAAAGGGCAUGCCUGUUCGAGCGUCAUUUGUACCCUCAAGCUUUGCUUGGUGUUGGGCGUCUUGUCUCUAGCUUUGCUGGAGACUCGCCUUAAAGUAAUUGGCAGCCGGCCUACUGGUUUCGGAGCGCAGCACAAGUCGCACUCUCUAUCAGCAAAGGUCUAGCAUCCAUUAAGCCUUUUUUUCAACUUUUGACCUCGGAUCAGGUAGGGAUACCCGCUGAACUUAAGCAUAUCA
rnacentral:rRNA from 1 species